UAGGGAAUCUUCCACAAUGGGCGAAAGCCUGAUGGAGCAACGCCGCGUGUGUGAUGAAGGGUUUCGGCUCGUAAAACACUGUUGUAAGAGAAGAAUGACAUUGAGAGUAACUGUUCAAUGUGUGACGGUAUCUUGCCAGAAAGGAACGGCUAAAUACGUGCC
rnacentral:rRNA from 1 species